AGCUUGCUUUUACUAGGACAGUAGCGAACGGGUGAGUAAUACGUAAGAAUCUGCCCUUUGGAGGAGGAAAACGGUUGGAAACGACCGCUAAUCCUGCAUAUGCCAUUGGUAAAAGGUCUCUAACACGAGAUUGCCAAAGGAUGAGCUUACCCCUGAUUAGCUAGUUGGUGGAGUAAAAGCCUACCAAGGCAACGAUCAGUACCUGGUCUGAGAGGAUGAUCACCCACACUGGGACUGAAACACGGCCCAAACUCCUACGGGAGGCAGCAGUAGGGAAUUUUCCGCAAUGGGCAAAAGCCUGACAGAGCACUGCCCCGUGGAGGGGGAAGGCCUAUUGGGUUGUUAACUCCUUUUCCCAAAAAAAAAACCUGACGGUUAUCUGGGGAAUAAGCAUCGGCUAUACUCCGUGCCACCAGCCGCGGUAAUACGGGAGAUGCAAGCGUUCCCCGAAAUUAUUGCGCUUAAAAAGACCGCAGGUUGUUAUCAAAGCCCAUUGUUAAA
rnacentral:rRNA from 1 species